rnacentral:rRNA from 1 species
GACGUAGGGCGCGAGCGUUGUCCGGAUUUAUUGGGCGUAAAGAGCUCGUAGGCGGUCUGUCGCGUCGGCUGUGAAAUCCCGAGACUCAACCUCGGGUCUGCAGUCGAUACGGGCAAACUUGAGUGUUGCAGGGGAGACUGGAAUUCCUGGUGUAGCGGUGAAAUGCGCAGAUAUCAGGAGGAACACCGGUGGCGAAGGCGGGUCUCUGGGCAACAACUGACGCUGAGGAGCGAAAGCGUGGGGAGCGAACAGG